rnacentral:lncRNA from 1 species
AUGAGGAUUGGGAUUUUUAAUCUCAGGUUUGUUAAGUUUUAUCUUGCUAGGUGUUUGAUUCUCAGGUUACCAUGAGAGGAAAGAAUCAUGGAAUCUGUCAUAGCUGUAGGCUAAAAGGUCAUUUUUUUUGCUGAAUGCCCGAACAAAUGGCCUUGCCCAUGGUGUAAACAUGCUUUUCUGAAAUGCUUUAAGGUGGAGAAGAACAUUAAGAACAAAGGUAGACUAUUCAAUAUGUGCAGCGUGAAAUGUGGUUUUUGGGAGUGGUUAGCGAUGAGGAAAUGAGUGGUGAAUCGACAUUUUUGUCAUGCAUGCUUGAAGCUCGAUGUCGGUUAACUAUGAACAAGACACAGAGAUUUCUAUAAAUGUCACUGUACGCAAAGAAAGAGCACGUAACUGAAAGGAAUGAGAUUGGAAUUGGGCCGACUGGAUUUGUACUUUCCUUUAAAUGAAAUUGUAAUUUCAGUUAUGUAAAUAUAUGUUUCCUUGAAAUGAAUGUUAUCUUUGAUGCGUGUUAACUUGGCGAUUCAAAUUUAUGUGACGUUCUUAGAGUUGUAAGUUUUGAGUUACCUUCGACUGGAAGUGGUAAGGAGAAAUCUG